GCCCCUGGCCACAGAACGCCGGCAUCCUCGGCACCCAGCGCGCGCCCGGCACCGCCCGGUCCCUCCUCGCGCGUCGCGACUUCCGAGAGACAGCGGAAACACGUGACCUGCCUUUCCCCGCAAGAGGCCUCAGGGAAAGGCAGGAAGAGUGGUUCCCCUACCCAUCAAGAAGGACUGUCAAAACUACAGUGGUGCACCCGUAGGAACACACAUCUUGAAGAACCAUUGUUACUGCACAAGUCAGGGACCAUAGGAUGCACAGAGGCACAUGCCUGGGAGAGACUGAAACCAAUGGGGUAUGAUUCUAAUCCCACAAACUGAGUACUGAAGAGAACAGGGUGUGGCAAACCCAAACCGUGAUGAAAAUGGUCAGAUCCCUCAAAUUGACCUGGUGUUACCCCAGGACAGGGGAAUAGAACCACCAGCGUUAAGAAGGUACAAGAGAACUAAUCAGUGUGUACCACCUGUUAAUCUUAGAGAUGAUUAUGUUAUUGGUUCUAUGCAUUGUUUUAAUUAAUCUUACAAUGUACAGUAUAAAGAAGUUAAAAUAGAAUAUUAAAUAAAUGUUCUUUUGUUAAUUGUUAAUGCUUUUCAUAUAUAAUAUGAUGCUUGUAAGUGUUAUUGUUAAUAUCGGACCUGGAAGUGCUGGUAUGAACAUUCUAGUGGGGGAAGAAUUUUAGCAAGGGGGAAUGUCAGUGGGCUAUUGGACUCUUACUGAAACUUGGUGGGGUUUUUUGGUUGGUGCUCUCCUAACACCAGGAGAAAGGGGAAGGGCUGAAGAGAAGUUAGGAUCCUGAGACUGACACAGCCCCAUGGCCAAUUGGGAGAGGCCAGCACUCCAAGUCAGCCAGAUUCACAGGGGAAGCAGGCAACUGAGGGAGUUGUCAGGGUUCCAUCCCCACUCUGAGCUCUGGGGUACAGAUGUGGGGACCCUUAUGAAAGACCCCCUAAACUUAUUUCUACCAGCUUAGGUUAAAACUUCCCCAAGGCACAAAUCCUUUCCUUGUC